GGGCUCGUAGAUCAGUGGCAGAUCGACACCUUCGCAAGGUGUAGGCCCCGGGUUCAAAUCCCGGCGAGUCCA
rnacentral:tRNA from 1 species